rnacentral:rRNA from 1 species
GACGAACGCUGGCGGCGUGCUUAACACAUGCAAGUCGAACGGUGCACGCGGGAGCUUGCUCCCUCCGGAUCAGUGGCGAACGGGUCAUUAACACGUGAUCAAUCUGCCCCGCACUCUGGGAUACUCAUUGCAAACGACGUCUAAUACCGGAUACGACAUGGCAUGUCAUUCUCUCCGCGUUGAAUGAACUUCGGUUCGGGGUGAGCUCGCGGCCUAUCAGCUUGUUGUAGAGGUACGGGCUGACCAAGGCGACGACGUGUAGCCGGCCUGCGGGGGUGACCGGCCAAACUGGGACUGAGAUGCGACACAGACUCGUACGGGACGCAGCAGUGGAGAAGAUUGCACUAGGGGCGGAAGCCUGAUGCAGCAACGCCGCGUGGGGGACGACGGCCUUCGGGUUGUAAUCCUAUGUUAGCAGGGAAGAAGCGAAAGUGACGGUACCUGGAGAAAAAGCACCGGCUAACUACGUG